rnacentral:rRNA from 1 species
UAUACAUGCAGUCGAGCGGACAGAUGGGAGCUUGCUCCCUGAUGUUAGCGGCGGACGGGUGAGUAACACGUGGGUAACCUGCCUGUAAGACUGGGAUAACUCCGGGAAACCGGGGCUAAUACCGGAUGGUUGUUUGAACCGCAUGGUUCAAACAUAAAAGGUGGCUUCGGCUACCACUUACAGAUGGACCCGCGGCGCAUUAGCUAGUUGGUGAGGUAACGGCUCACCAAGGCAACGAUGCGUAGCCGACCUGAGAGGGUGAUCGGCCACACUGGGACUGAGACACGGCCCAGACUCCUACGGGAGGCAGCAGUAGGGAAUCUUCCGCAAUGGACGAAAGUCUGACGGAGCAACGCCGCGUGAGUGAUGAAGGUUUUCGGAUCGUAAAGCUCUGUUGUUAGGGAAGAACAAGUACCGUUCGAAUAGGGCGGUACCUUGACGGUACCUAACCAGAAAGCCACGGCUAACUACGUGCCAGCAGCCGCGGUAAUACGUAGGUGGCAAGCGUUGUCCGGAAUUAUUGGGCGUAAAGGGCUCGCAGGCGGUUUCUUAAGUCUGAUGUGAAAGCCCCCGGCUCAACCGGGGAGGGUCAUUGGAAACUGGGGAACUUGAGUGCAGAAGAGGAGAGUGGAAUUCCACGUGUAGCGGUGAAAUGCGUAGAGAUGUGGAGGAACACCAGUGGCGAAGGCGACUCUCUGGUCUGUAACUGACGCUGAGGAGCGAAAGCGUGGGGAGCGAACAGGAUUAGAUACCCUGGUAGUCCACGCCGUAAACGAUGAGUGCUAAGUGUUAGGGGGUUUCCGCCCCUUAGUGCUGCAGCUAACGCAUUAAGCACUCCGCCUGGGGAGUACGGUCGCAAGACUGAAACUCAAAGGAAUUGACGGGGGCCCGCACAAG